rnacentral:rRNA from 1 species
UACGUAGGGGGCAAGCGUUGUCCGGAAUCAUUGGGCGUAAAGCGCGUGUAGGCGGCUUGGUAAGUCCGCUCUGAAAGCCCGGGGCUCAACCCCGGGAGGCGGGUGGAUACUGUCAAGCUCGAGUCCGGAAGAGGCGAGUGGAAUUCCUGGUGUAGCGGUGAAAUGCGCAGAUAUUAGGAGGAACACCAAUGGCGAAGGCAGCUCGCUGGGACGUGACUGACGCUGAGACGCGAAAGCGUGGGGAGCAAACAGG